rnacentral:rRNA from 1 species
GACGAACGCUGGCGGCGUGCUUAACACAUGCAAGUCGAACGGAAAGGCCCUGCUUUUGUGGGGUGCUCGAGUGGCGAAAGGGUGAGUAACACGUGAGUAACCUGCCCUUGACUUUGGGAUAACUUCAGGAAACUGGGGCUAAUACCGGAUAUGAGCUCCUGCUGCAUGGUGGGGGUUGGAAAGUUUCGGCGGUUGGGGAUGGACUCGCGGCUUAUCAGCUUGUUGGUGGGGUAGUGGCUUACCAAGGCUUUGACGGGUAGCCGGCCUGAGAGGGUGACCGGCGACAUUGGGACUGAGAUACGGCCCAGACUCCUACGGGAGGCAGCAGUGGGGAAUAUUGCACAAUGGGCGGAAGCCUGAUGCAGCAACGCCGCGUGCGGGAUGACGGCCUUCGGGUUGUAACCCGCUUUCGCCUGUGACGAAGCGUGAGUGACGGUAAUGGGUAAAGAAGCACCGGCUAACUACGUG